ACCUUCUGUCUGAAUUAUAUCAAUAACAUUUGUUAAAAAUUUCAACAACGGAUUUUUUGGUUCUCGCAUCGAUGAAGAACGCAGCGAAAUGCGAUAAGUAGUGUGAAUUGCAGAAUUCAGUGAAUCAUCGAAUUUUUGAACGCACAUUGCGCCCCAUGGUAUCCCGUGGGGCAUGCC
rnacentral:rRNA from 1 species